GUGUUAAGCUAUAAAUCUUUCAUUUAGUAUUAUAACAACAGAAAAUCAAAAGCUGUUUAUAAUAAAUAAGUUAUUCUCUUACACACAUAUCAAACUGUUAUUUUCUUUAAUACAUGUGUUUGAUUUAUUACAGAUGUUAGAUCAACAAUCAACAAUGUCAAAGGUGUGGGUUUAGAAUUUCAAAAAAAGAUGCUAAUAUGGAACUGCCAAACAAUCUUAUCAGCACCAAACCUGCUGCAGCUGCAUUGGAAAGCAAUACCUGCCUGAUAUGCUGCCAAUCACUUGCAGAUGGCCAAGAUCAUGUAAAGUUACGCCAGAAAGGGAGUGAUAGCAUAAAUGCUGCCAGCGAAGUUCGCUUGGACAAUAUUACUUCCCUACCCGGACAGACAGUUCAUGUACAUUGUCGGAAAGAUUACUGUAACCCAAUUCGAAUCAAGCUAUCCUUAAAUAAAAAGUCAACACAGACUGUAUUAUCUCCAUCAUUACGAUCUAACACUGAACGAUUUAACUUCAGUACAAAUUGUCUAUUUUGUGCUCAACGUGCCAAAUGUGUUGGAAGAAAACGAGGCUAUAAUGUAUACUCUGUUAGAACAGUUGAAUUUAAAAAUAACAUAGUACAAAUAUGUAUUGAUAGGAAUGACACAUGGGGUUCAGAUGUUAAAAGCAGAUUGGAAACUAUACAUGACUCUAAUGAUCUUAUGUCUUCACAGGAAAAUAUUGACUACAUUCCGGAUAGUCUAAAAACAUUUCUUAGAGAAAUUUUCUGCGAGAAAAAAGCAGAUGUUAAGAUUGCCUCUAUUGGACAGACCAUUAUCCAAGCAGCAAGACCAAAGGUGUUGAUUCCUCCACUACAGAUUGGCUUAGCAGUACAAAUGCAUCACCACUUUGCAUCAAAGUUUUUAAUUGAUAUGUUGAAUAAGCUAGGAUUUUGUAGUUCAUAUUCAGAGGUUCAACGGUUUUAGACAAGUGCAGCAGUUUCACAAGGCAUUGAUUUGCCUAUUCUAAAAGAUGGCCAAUUUUGCCAGUUCGUAGCGGACAACGUGGAUCAUAAUAUACGAACACUGGAUGGCAACAAUACUUUUCACGGCAUGGGUAUAAUUGCUUGUUACACGGCCGAAACAAAAGUGUCAAAAACUGUUCCAAGAAUUUCCGUUUCAACAGAUGACCUAGUGGCACUUGGUAAGAUUCAAGUGAAAUUUUACAAAAAGGAGAAUAGUUUUAUGAUACAUGAAACAUUAAAAGUAUUACCUGACUUCAGAUAUGAAGAUCGUACAAAAAACAUUGACCUGCUUUCGAAGUGCUUAUGGCCCUUGAAACAAAGGAAACAAGGAUGGUCUGGAAUCAUGCAAAUGGUGCAACAGGGCAAUUACCCAGGAAAAUCACCAAUCUUCUUUCUUCCCAUGAUCGAUAUCAAUGCCAGCGACGUUUCCUGUAUUUAUUCAACACUACACUUUGUGUGUACACAAGCCAGGAGACACAAUACUGUGCCAGUGGUUACAUUUGACCAACCACUCUAUUGGAAGGCUUUGACCAUGGUUAUCAAUGAAGGAUCUACAAGCGAACUCAAAUCUAUAGUUCUUAGAUUGGGUGGAUUCCACACUAUACUGAGUUUUCUAGGAUGUAUCGGACAAUUAAUGGCAGGAUCAGGACUAUCGGAAUUGCUUGAAACUAUUUAUGCUCCAAUGCCGUGACCCAUAUGUUAACUGGUAAGGCUGUUUCCAGAGCAACCCGGGCUCAUUUCCUUCUUGACGAAGUCUUAAAUGCCAUAUUUACGGAAAAAAACUUUCACUUUCUGCAAUAGAAACCAAUGAGCUUGAACUCAAUGGUGAUAGUGUUAGCAAGGCAAGAGACAACGACUUUGCUAUUGCGACUACGAGUACCUUACCAAAAACACAUGCUGAAACUAACACGGUUGGAAACAAUGAAACCUUAUUGGAGGAGAAAUGACAGUAGAAAAUGUUUGUGAAGAAAUGGUUUUCAAAAAGCUUCAGGGAAAACUUGACGAAAACAGAGCAUCUAUGUGUGAAUUUCGUACUUCACAGUUAUGGUUUAUGCAUAUGUCAAUGGAUGAUAUAUUACGAACAUUCAUUAAAGCAGAACGCAUUGGUUGCUGGGAACUACAUCUCCAAACUGUAAAAGAAAUGUUACCUUACCUUGCAGCUGCAGGCCACAACCUGUACUUAAAAUCAGCUUACUUUUACCUUCAAAGCAUGGCUAAACUACUGAUGGAGUAUCCAGACGUUUCCAAACACUUUUCAGAAGGAAAGCACGUAGUUCGUCGAAGCGAACGGUAUUGGGCUGGUCUAUCAACAGAUUUAGUGAUAGAACAGGUUUUAAUGAGAAGUGUCAAGACGACCGGUGGUUUGACACGUGGGCGUGGUUUAACUGAAAAACAGAGAAAUCAGUGGUUGCUUUCGAUGCCAACUUGCAAAGAAUACAACAACGCAAUGCAGGAAUUUGCAAACGUCGCUUAUCACACAAGUGAUCAGCAUGUAGAAAGCAGUCAGUCGAGAAUGGACAGAGAUCAAAAGGACAAACUAAAACUACCAUUUCCUACAGGAUAAACUCCAUUCGUUAACGAUUAUGCCCUUCGCAACAUUGAAACAGGUUUAACAGCCGAUCUUCAUGUAAAUGUUGACACUGCAAAGGAAGUGGGUCAAACUGUGUUAGACAAGAUGCUUCAUAAAACCGUUUUGGAGUACAGUUUCAAGCGUACAAGUCAAGCAGUGACACUCAGCUCAAAGUCAAAAGUGAAAGUAAACGGAGAAACUGUUCACAUUGACCCACAGUUACUAUUUCAGCGUUUGACAGCUGCAGCCGAUAGAUUAUAUGACAGCCAGGAGGAAAUAUUCAAGUACGAAUUGUGUAGUUUUCCAUCGUCGUUAUUCGAGUCGUCUGGACUUUUAAAACAAGCUGACAAACCGUCAUUGGCUAAUGCAAUUUUGGCGUUGGGCGAUUGUUUAUUCUCGAAAAGCUAGAUGAUUCGGUACACUAUGUCCAUGAUGGUGGUUCUUUACUUAACCAUUUGACCUGGAAAUAUGGGGAUACAUUUGUGGACAUAUGUGAGACAUACGUGGGUUACGUCGUCAGAAAGGGUUCAUCUUCAACAGUGGUAUUUGAUGUUAUUCUAAUGGUCCUUCUACUAAAGACUGUGCUCAUAGUAAACGCAGUAGAGGACUAGCUAGUACAAAGGUACAUUUUACAAGGGAAACACCAUUCAGGUCCAAAAAAGAACAGUUUUUGUUAAAUACUGAGAAUAAACAGUAUUUCGUAGAUAUGCUAAGCAAAUGUCUACAAGAAAGAGGUUGUCCUACAAUACAUGCUGUGAGUGAUGCUGAUGUGCUGAUAUUCAAAACAGCUGUAGCAAGUUCUUCAAGUAAAAAAACUGUUGUUCUUGGGGAAGACACAGAUCUUCUUGUUUUACUUUGUUACCACGCGGAUGUGUCUGCAAACAAAAUAUAUUUUAUAUCGGGAAGAAAUCUAAAAAACGCUAAAUUGGUCAAACAGUGGGAUGUAACCCGUACAAGAAAUUUACUUGGCUUGAAUAUAUGUAGAAUGCUUCCUGUUAUCCAUGCACUAACUGGUUGUGAUACAUCUAAGAUGUCUGGGGUUGGCAAAGCAGCAACAUUGAACAAAUUUAUUUUCAAUGCCUUUAUUCAAAAACAAUCAAAAGUUUUUCUAGACAACACAGCGAUUCAAGAUGUAUCUGCCGCUGGUGAAAAAUUGAUAAUAUGCUUAUACGGUGGGGCAUCGCAUGAACAGCUCAACACUCUCCGAUAUAGGAUAUUUGUCAGCAAAGUUAUGACAAGUACAAAGUAUGUAGCUGUUAACACUUUACCACCCACAUGCUCCUCUGCACAUUACCAUAGUUUAAGGGUUUACCUUCAAGUUCAUGAAUGGAUUACUAAGGAUAAUAAUUUAAAUCCACUUGAAUGGGGUUGGAAGUCUGAUAGCGGAUUACUAAUGCCAGUCCAAACAAACAUGUCCCCUGCACCAGACGAUUUGUUGAAAAUUAUCAGAUGCUGCUGUAAGACCAAUUGUGACUUGAAACGUUGUACUUGUAGACGACAUGGUCUUGACUGUUCAUCGGGAUGUGGGGAAUGUCGGGAAAUAAGCUGUACCAAUGCACAAACUGUGGAAGAACAAGACUUGAUGGAAGACAGUGUAUAAGUUAGUUACGGACAUGUUCACACCCAAGUUUACUUACUAUUGAAUUUAGUAUGAGAAAAAAAGCAUUACAAUUAUUGAUGUUUUCCCCAAAAUGUUACAUUUAGCAUUAA